rnacentral:rRNA from 1 species
GAUGAACGCUGGCGGCGUGCCUAAUACAUGCAAGUCGAACGGACUGUGGUAAUUAUGAUUGAAGAGCUUGCUCGGAGAGAUUAAUUACAAUGCAGUCAGUGGCGAACGGGUGAGUAACACGUGGGAAACCUACCUCUUAGCAGGGGAUAACAUUUGGAAACAGAUGCUAAUACCGUAUAACAAUUAGAACCGCAUGGUUCAAGUUUAAAAGAUGGUUCUGCUAUCACUAGGAGAUGGUCCCGCGGCGUAUUAGCUAGAUGGUGAGGUAAUGGCUCACCAUGGCAAUGAUACGUAGCCGAGUUGAGAGACUGAUCGGCCACAUUGGGACUGAGACACGGCCCAAACUCCUACGGGAGGCAGCAGUAGGGAAUCGUUCCACAACUGGACGAAAGUCUGAUGGAGCAACGCCGCGUGUGUGAUGAAGGCUUUCGGGUCGUAAAACGACUGUUAUAAGAGAAGAACGUCAAGUGAGAGUAACUGUU